rnacentral:lncRNA from 1 species
AUGGAUUGUGAGAUUUGCAGGCCUCCCAACUGUAUUGGAGAUCCUAACCCAAGAUGCCUUGAGUCACACAACCUGCACGGAGCAGAACUGAGAAUUCUCAAGCCAGUGCCACAGGUGGUGACCUGGACCUGCACUUCUUGCUCUCCCGUCACCAUGUUCAAAAGCAGCACAGACCCGCCCCGUCAUCCUGGCUCUGCUACACCCUUCAGCUUCAGUGGGGUCUUAAACACCUUCAGUGUUUAUAUAUACUUCCCGAAAGUAUAUGCCACUCAACCCCAGCCACAUGGGUUGUGAAUUUCCAAAAGAAAUUUUGUAGUUUCACAGCAAAUUCAAAUUUUGAUCAACAUUGUGAUGACCAACCAGUUUUGUGAUUGCUAGACAUCACCUUACUUGAGUCCAAUCAAACCUUUUACGAAUACAUUUCUAUUAUAAAAGUAACGCAUCAACAUUACAAAAGGAAGAAUUAAAUAUGUCCUAUACAUGUACCAACUCCCCACAAUGAAUGUAAUAAUUAUGUAAUGCAAAUGUGUGCUAAUAAAAUUACAAAAGCAAAAAUUGGUCCACUAAAAAGGAAGUCUUCCGCUAGCUGUAGUCCCCAAUGGGAAACUUAUAGCAAUUUCUUGUAUGUCCUUCCAGAUGCAUGUAUGGGUAGAUAAACCUACUAACAGCCAGCCAUUUGAGUGGUCCACUUUCAAAGCCCAUCCUCAGACCCAUGUCCUCAUAACUCCUGAACCUUGGGGCUUUCCAGCUGUGGCUGAAGUCAUCACAGAACAAAGACGAGCUGUCCCUGCUGUACACUGGCUGAAUUCCUGACCCACAGAAACCCUGAGAGAUAAUAAAAGUUGUUUGUUCUUUUAAGCCACUAAAAAUUUUUUUAAAACAGUAAACUAGUAGGAACAUACGAACAUAUCCUAUGCCCUCUCUAUGGUAUACAAUGGUCUUAACCAAUUUCCCACAGGGUGUCUCCAGUUCUAUUUGUGCCAAUGAAUUGUGACAUAGCCCACAGGCACAUGGACAUAUAUGACGUCCAUAGGAUACACAUAUGCCAGGAAGACUGCUGAGAAAAUGCACGUGCUCCUUUUCAAAUGGUGCACAGGCAGCCUGCCCUUCAGAGAAGUGUGUAUCACAAACAUCUCUGUCAUGAGUGGAGAACAGUUUGCCUGGCAUCCCCCCAUUUGGGUGUUGACCCUAACUCUUUUGUCCCUAGGAUCCAGGUUCCACCAGUAUUGAUGGCGUUCACUAGUUCACUAAAAAGCUCUUCUGAGAGCAGAUGUGGUGGCACUUGCCUGUAGUCCCUGCUCCUCAGGAGGGUGACACAGGAGGAUAACUUGAGCCUAGAAGUUCUAGGUUACCCUGGGCAGCAUAAUGAGACCUCUUCUCAAAGGAAAAAAGGAAAGAAAAAUGUUCUCUUCUGGAGUUAAUGCCAUCAAACCAAUGUAUUUCCAUGAUUCAUUUUCUUUCUUUCUUUAUUUUGGGGGGGGUGGGCUACCAAGGAUUGAACUCAGGUCCUUGCACUUGCGCAGCAGGCGGUGAAACCACUGAGCUAAAUCCCAGCCCUGUGAUUCAUUCUCUAUUUAGCACAAACAACUUCUAAUUUUUUCCACUUAAAUUUUCAUUUUAAUGAAAACUUCAGCUACUUAGGUCAUGUCCCUAAAAUUUAAAAAAAUGUUCCAGGGCUGGGGAUUUAGCUCAGUCGUUUUGCCGCCUGCUGUGCAAGUGCAAGGACCUGAGUUCAAUCCCCGGUACCAAAAAAAAAAAUGUUCUGCCUGGGCAUGGUGGCACACACCUAUAUACCCAGCACUUUGGAGGCUGGAGCAGGAGGCUCACUGAGUGUUGGAAACCAGCCUGGGCUAUAUAGGGAGUUCAAGGCCAGACUGAACUACAUAGAUCCUGUCUCAAAAACUAAAAUAAUAAAUAAAAGUUACUAUAUAGAAGAGUAACAUCAUUGAUAAGAUGUACGUAUGAA